CCUUCGGGUGGCAGCAGUGGGGAAUAUUGCACAAUGGGGGAAACCCUGAUGCAGCGACGCCGCGUGAGCGAUGAAGUAUUUCGGUAUGUAAAGCUCUAUCAGCAGGGAAGAAACUGACGGUACCUGACUAAGAAGCCACGGCUAACUACGUGCCAGCAGCCGCGGUAAUACGUAGGGGGCAAGCGUUAACCGGGUUGACUGGGUGUAAAGGGAGCGUAGGUGGCGAUGCAAGCCAGAUGUGAAAGCCCGGGGCUCAACCCCGGGACUGCAUUUGGAACUGUAUAGCUGGAGUGUAGGAGAGGCAGGCGGAAUUCCUGGUGUAGCGGUGAAAUGCGUAGAUAUUAGGAGGAACACCAGUGGCGAAGGCAGCCUGCUGGACGAUGACUGACGUUGAGGCUCGAAAGCGUGGGGAGCGAACAGGAUUAGAUACCCCAGUAGUC
rnacentral:rRNA from 1 species